rnacentral:tRNA from 1 species
UGGGGUGUCGCCAAGCGGUAAGGCACCGGAUUUUGAUUCCGAUAUUCGUAAGUUCGAAUCUUGCCACCCCAGCCA